GGUAGAUGGAUAAUAUCAAUAUGAAAAGGCAAAAGAAGCAAAAAACGACAUUUAUUUGUCAUCUCAGAAAAAAUAAGAAUUAAUCUUUAGGUCCCCCCCUACCAUUGAUAGAACAAUGGUUCAGUCCAAAGUGUAGGAGGAGCAGCACAGGCUGGUAGAGCCGCUGAAGUGAGGAGCUGGCUGUUAGCUGUGGCACUGCAGCACAAAUAACAACCCUCCAGUAAGUUAAUACUUACAGCAAAAGACAUGUAAACAUUUUAUUUACUUUAGCUGCUCAAUAAUAAGAAACUCAUUGUCAGGGUUCCUGUGUGCGUGAGUGCGAGUAACGCAUCUCUUCCAGCGAGGAUCUUGGUGGAGAGCCUGGGCAGCCUUCAUAGGUGGAGCUCAUCAGCCUCAUCAGAGUGCUGGGGAUAAAGGAGCAGCAGAGCCUUCACUCAGCGCUGGAUGAUUAACGUCUACUGGUAGUCACUCUGGCCACCUCUUGUUGUCAGCUAUUUUUAGCUUUUGAUCAGUCUUUUGAGAACCUACCUGAAGUUCAUAGUUCUUGUUUUUGCUUCCUUUCGGUUUUUGUCACUGGAUCUCUCUAGAAGAAUCAGUUCAACCGUUUUCUCCUCCUGUGAAACUCCCCAGCAAGUACCUACCUGCCUGCCUGCUCCACCGUUCCCCCUCAUCUCCACACAGGACCCCUGGGCACCUUUCUUCCACGCUUCACCAAGUCCAUUCAAAAAUGCCACGGAUCGCAUGACACUGCCACUCCCUGAUACAUCAAGGAAACCUGUAAAUUGUUGCUUGUUGUUUGAAGGAAAUAAAACCUAUACCUAAUUGAA